rnacentral:rRNA from 1 species
GACAGAGGUCCCGAGCGUUAGACGGAAUCACUGGGGCUUAAAGCGUGUGUAGGCGGAAGGGUAAGUACCUCGUGAAAUCCCAUAGCUCAACUAUGGAACUGCUUGGUAUACUGCUUUUCUUGAGCCACUUAGGGGCAACCGGAACAAAUGGUGGAGCGGUGAAAUGCGUAGAUAUCAUUUGGAACGCCAAUGGUGAAAACAGGUUGCUGGGAGUGUGCUGACGCUGAGACACGAAAGCCAGGGGGAGCAAACGGGG